rnacentral:snoRNA from 1 species
GAGCACUUGAUACUAACCGAGCCAUCUUGUAUCCCAGGUCUUGUGCAGAGGUCUGAGGUACACCUUGUGAUUGCUGGGUCUGAAAAGUGCAACAUUAAAACAAGCCAUGAAGUGUUUAAGCUCAGUGUAUAAAGGUUAACACCGGGUUAUAACUCAGAGGCACAGAA